rnacentral:rRNA from 1 species
GAUGAACGCUAGCGGCAGGCCUAACACAUGCAAGUCGAGGGGCAGCACGAUUGAGCUCGCUUAAUUGGUGGCGACCGGCGCACGGGUGCGUAACGCGUAUGCAACCUACCUUAUACUGGGGUAUAGCCCGGAGAAAUUCGGAUUAAUCCCCCAUAGCAUUAUCGAUUCGCAUGUUUUGAUAAUUAAAGGUUACGGUAUAAGAUGGGCAUGCGUCCUAUUAGCUAGAUGGUGAGGUAACGGCUCACCAUGGCGACGAUAGGUAGGGGGCCUGAGAGGGUGGUCCCCCACACUGGUACUGAGACACGGACCAGACUCCUACGGGAGGCAGCAGUGAGGAAUAUUGGUCAAUGGGCGCAAGCCUGAACCAGCCAUGCCGCGUGCAGGAAGACGGUCCUAUGGAUUGUAAACUGCUUUUAUUUGGGAAUAAACUCCGGUACGUGUACCGGCCUGAAGGUACCAAAUGAAUAAGCACCGGCUAACUCCGUGCCAGCAGCCGCAGUAACAC